AAGACUAUACUUUCAGGGAUCAUUUCUAUAGUGUCUCACUAGAGAAGUGCAUUCGAAAGUGGUCGGUCGAGCGAACCACGAGGAGGAGGCCGAGUGGUCUCUCCUGAGCGGGAAGCUGUCAGGGGGUGCCCCCAGAUGCAGUGGGGUCUCCUCCACUGGGUCAAUGGGGCCUUUCCUUGCCAUUGAGGACCGUUCUGCCUUCCCUUUAUGGGGAGGACGGAGGGAGAGACCACAAGCUGAGUGGU